rnacentral:rRNA from 1 species
GAGUUUGAUCCUGGCUCAGAUUGAACGCUGACGGCAGGCCUAACACAUGCAAGUCGAACGGUAACAGCAGGAGCUUGCUUCUGGCGGUGAGUAAUGCACAGGAAUCUACCCAGUAGAGGGGGACAACUCAGGGAAACUUGAGCUAAUACCGCAUACGUCCUACGGGAGAAAGCAGGGGACCUUCGGGCCUUGUGCUAUUGGAUGAGCCUGUGUUAGAUUAGCUAGUUGGUGAGGUAAAGGCUCACCAAGGCGACGAUCUAUAGCUGGUCUGAGAGGACGAUCAGCCACACUGGGACUGAGACACGGCCCAAACUCCUACGGGAGGCAGCAGUGGGGAAUAUUGCGCAAUGGAGGAAACUCUGACGCAGCCAUGCCGCGUGUGUGAAGAAGGCUUUCGGGUUGUAAAGCACUUUCAAUGGGGAGGAAAGGUUAUUAACGAAUAAUUGGUAGCUGUGACGUUACCCAUAGAAGAAGCACCGGCUAACUCCGUGCCAGCAGCCGCGGUAAUACGGAGGGUGCGAGCGUUAAUCGGAAUUACUGGGCGUAAAGCGCGCGUAGGCGGCCUGAUAAGUUGGAUGUGAAAGCCCUGGGCUCAACCUGGGAACUGCAUUUAGAACUGACUCGCUAGAGUACAGUAGAGGGUGGUGGAAUUUCCAGUGUAGCGGUGAAAUGCGUAGAGAUUGGAAGGAACAUCAGUGGCGAAGGCGGCCACCUGGACUGAUACUGACGCUGAGGUGCGAAAGCGUGGGGAGCAAACAGGAUUAGAUCCCCUGGUAGUCCACGCCGUAAACGAUGUCUACUAGCCGUUGGGGGAACUUGAUUCCUUAGUGGCGCAGCUAACGCGUUAAGUUCUCCGCCUGGGGAGUACGCCGGCAACGGUAAAACUCAAAGGAAUUGACGGGGACCCGCACAAGCGGUGGAGCAUGUGGUUUAAUUCGAUGCAACGCGAAGAACCUUACCAGCCAUUGACAUACUCGGAACUUUCCAGAGAUGGAUCGGUGCCUUCGGGAAUCGAGAUACAGGUGCUGCAUGGCUGUCGUCAGCUCGUGUCGUGAGAUGUUGGGUUAAGUCCCGCAACGAGCGCAACCCUUGUCCUUAGUUGCCAGCACGUUAUGGUGGGAACUCUAAGGAGACUGCCGGUGACAAACCGGAGGAAGGUGGGGACGACGUCAAGUCAUCAUGGCCCUUAUGGGCUGGGCUACACACGUGCUACAAUGGUGCAUACAGAGGGUUGCCAACCAGCGAUGGGGAGCUAAUCCCAGAAAGUGCAUCUUAGUCCGGAUUGGAGUCUGCAACUCGACUCCAUGAAGUUGGAAUCUCUAGCAAUCGCGAAUCACCAACGUCGCGGUGAAUACGUUCCCGGGCCUUGUACACACCGCCCGUCACACCAUGGGAGUGGGUUGCACCAGAAGUAGCUAGACUAACCUUCGGGAGGUCGGUUACCACGGUGUGGUUCAUGACUGGGGUGAAGUCGAAACAAGGUAGCC